UGGUAAUACUGACUGCAUUCAGCUGUCUCA
rnacentral:piRNA from 1 species